rfam:Glossina fuscipes fuscipes unplaced genomic scaffold Scaffold198, whole genome shotgun sequence.
GGUAGUUUUUGGUACUUACGCGCCAUGGAUGGCGAAUCGUGCAUGCUGCAAUUAAGAACCAGCAGUAUCCUAUGAAGAUUUUCACCUUCC